CCUUCAGUCUGACCUUCUUGAUGAUGAUGAUGACUGCAGCAUCACUGUCAAAGCUUCAUCAGCUUGAAUGGAAACAGAGCUCAGCAAGAGGAGGAGCUACAGCAGUGAACAUGAAAGGCUUCAUGUAGGAGCUGAAGAGCUGCUGUGUUCUCUCUAUUGUUCAUUCAGUCCAAGAGAAAAUCAUGUUGCUGCUUUUCAUUUGGAUGAUGAUAGUCUCCUUUCAGACUGGAUCCUCUGAGGAUUUACUGACACCAUCUAAAGAUGUAGUGAUGAGUUUGGAAGCAGAAACUGUGACUCUCUCCUGCAACUAUUCAGGCUCUGAAACUUACUUCUUCUGGUACAAACAGAAACCUAAUUCACAUCCAGAGUUUCUCAUCGCCUACUAUUCAGAGAAAACAGAAAAGCUGAAGUUUAUACAUGACAAAGAAAAAAAGGAGUUUCAUCUGGAGAUCUCCUCUGCUGCAGUGUCUGACUCUGCUGUGUACUACUGUGCUCUGAAGCCCACAGUGACAGGAAACAGCAAAACUCUGUACAAAAACCUUUGGAGCAAAGACAACAGAAUACUCCACAACAUCCACUAGAGGGAGCCACACACUGUUAAACCUCUGAUUCUUGUGUCAUUGGACUGAUGACAAAGACAACAGAGAAAUGAAGCUGUAACGAUCAGAGACAGAGACAGAGCUGCUGUGGAAGCACAAAACUGUUUGAUUGGCUCAGCUAUUAAACUGGCCCCGCCCACUGAAGUUGAGCUCAUCCAAUGACAUUAGUUGUUGGUCAUUGUGCUGCAGUGGAAGAACAUUGUUCAUGUGCUGUCUGUCUGGCUUUAAUAACUCCAAAGACAUGUUGCUGCACCUCUUUUUGCUUCUAUCUCACAUUAUAGGUGAGUUUAAGAACAGGGAUUAAAGUUUAGUUGAAGCUGCUGCAUUAAGCAGAUAUACAGACUGCAUUUCACUACUUUUCUUCUUUCUUUUUCCAGGACUAACAGCUGGAGACUCAAUCACUCCUCAACAACCUGAAGUCACU